AGGAGAAAUCACUACUGGAAUGUUUGCUUCACCUUUUAAGUUGGCAGCCAAGUGAUAUUAAUGCAAUUUCUGGAGGUUUUCUCACAAUCUGUAAGUUGGAGUGGACUGAAAAUUCUUGAGUGUUGUCGUAAUACGUGAAGUCUUUCUUGAGAAUGCUCCGGGGACUUGGCUAUGGAAGGAAGAAUGGAAAUUGCAAUAACAAAAUCCUAAUUCUAAUAAAAUACUAACAAUGCUCUAAUUAGAUCAUAAUAAUGCUAAGCAAGCUUAAUCAAAUUCAAAAAAACCUCAAAGAAAUUUCAAACAAACAAUAAGAAUUCUUAAAGAAAUAUUAGAAGGAUCACAAAUAUCACUCAAAUACAUCUCAAUUCAAUCUUAAUUUAAUUCUAGUUAAAAUCCUAUUGAACUUCAUUCAAAUUUUAGGCCAAAACCAAUUAAAUUUUAAAUCCUAAUAGAAUCCUAAAUCCUAAAUCAAAUCCUAAACAAACCUUAAAUUAAAUCUCAACCAAAUUCUAAACCAAAUCCUAAACCCUAAAUCAAAUCCUAAUCAAAACCUAAUCCAAAUCCUAAAUCCUAAACCAAAUCCUAAUCAAAUCCUAAACCUAAACCCUAAACCUAAAUCCAAAUCCUAAACUCAAACUCUAAAUCUUAAACCAAAUUCUAACCAAAUCCUAAAACAAACCCUAAAUCAAAUCCUAAACCCUAUCUAAAUUUUAAACCCUAUCCAAACCUUAAUCCAAAUCUUAAAUCCUAAACCAAACCUUAAAUCAAACCCUAAAUCAUAAACCAAACCCUAACCAAAUCCUAAACUAAAACUCUAAAUCCUAAAUCAAAUCCUAUCCAAAUUCUUAACCAAACUCUAAAUCAAAUCCUAAACAAAUUCUAAACCAAAUUCCAAAUCCUAAAUUAAAUCAUAACUAAAUCCUAACCAAACUCUAAUCCAAAUCCUAAAUCAAAUCCUAAAUCCUAAGUCAAACCCUAACUAAAUCCUAACUAAAUCGUAAACCAAAUCCUAAAUCUUAAAUCAAAUCCGAACUAAACCCUAACCAAAUCUUGAACCAAAUCCUAAACCCUAAAUCAAACUCUAAUCCAAAUCCUAAAUCCUAAACCAAACUCUAACCAAAUCUUAAACCAAAC
rnacentral:lncRNA from 1 species